rnacentral:snoRNA from 1 species
CCGAGUGAUGAGACUAAGGGGUCCAUGCAUGCUGUCUGACCCUUGGCUCCUGGUGGGGGUGGCAGAUAUAGGUGGGAUCUGAAGUCUUAGUGGGGGUACCCGAGGCUUGCUCCCCACGGUAAGGCCAGAUCAAUAGCACUACUGGCCUUGCCUCCAUUUCUGCUGCUGCCCCCAGUUCCCAGCAGCAACCUGCAGGGAGGCCCACAGGUGGGGCCCAAAGAAGAGAAAAAAAAAAAAAAAAAGAAGAAAGAAAAGAAAAAUAUUGAAAAUAUCAGCAUGCAUUGCAUGUGGUA